rnacentral:rRNA from 1 species
ACUACGGGUGGCAGCAGUGAGGAAUAUUGGUCAAUGGGCGCGAGCCUGAACCAGCCAAGUAGCGUGAAGGAUGACUGCCCUACGGGUUGUAAACUUCUUUUAUAAAAGAAUAAAGUGAGGCACGUGUGCCUGUUUGUAUGUACUUUAUGAAUAAGGAUCGGCUAACUCCGUGCCAGCAGCCGCGGUAAUACGGAGGAUCCGAGCGUUAUCCGGAUUUAUUGGGUUUAAAGGGGGCGUAGAUGGGGUGUUAAGUCAGUGGUUAAAGUUUGCGGCUCAACCGUAAAAUUACAAUUGAUACUGGCAGUCUUGAGUACAGUUGAGGUAGGCGGAAUUCGUGGUGUAGCGGUGAAAUGCUUAGAUAUCACGAAGAACUCCGAUUGCGAAGGCAGCUUACUAAACUGCCACUGACAUUGAUGCUCGAAAGUGUGGGUAUCAAACAGGAUUAGAUACCCCUGUAGUC